GAGUUUGAUCGUGGCUCAGAUUGAACGCUGGCGGCAUGCCUUACACAUGCAAGUCGAACGGCAGCAUGAUCUAGCUUGCUAGAUUGAUGGCGAGUGGCGAACGGGUGAGUAAUACAUCGGAACGUGCCCUGUAGUGGGGGAUAACUAGUCGAAAGAUUAGCUAAUACCGCAUACGACCUGAGGGUGAAAGUGGGGGACCGCAAGGCCUCAUGCUAUAGGAGCGGCCGAUGUCUGAUUAGCUAGUUGGUGGGGUAAAGGCCCACCAAGGCGACGAUCAGUAGCUGGUCUGAGAGGACGAUCAGCCACACUGGGACUGAGACACGGCCCAGACUCCUACGGGAGGCAGCAGUGGGGAAUUUUGGACAAUGGGCGAAAGCCUGAUCCAGCAAUGCCGCGUGUGUGAAGAAGGCCUUC
rnacentral:rRNA from 1 species